AUAGUUUUUUUCCCUCACUGUAUGUUACCGUAGUUGAGAUACAAGGUUACAAAGAGACAGAGCGGUGAGAAGGGGGUCCAAUCCAGUCAAAAAUUGUCAGGAUAGAAGGAAAGCGAGAAUAGGGAGCAUGAGUGGCUGGUAGGAGAUUUUCAUUUUAUUUCACUGUAUAGAACUAUCGUGCAUAUACUGAAUCUGGAUAACGGGCGUCUUGGGUGUGUUUAACCUACACAUUUUAAGGUUCCAAUAAACGUUAAAGGGACCCAGGCCACUUAAUCACACUGAAGUGGUCUGGGUGCAAUGUCCCUGUCC